GAGCUCCCGCAGGCCCGCCGGGUAGUUGAAGAAGAUGGGCACGAACUCCGUAGGGCCGAUGGGCACGCCGUUGCGGAACCCGGAGGUGUUGGCACGGACGUCGGCGUCGUAGCUCUGCUCGAGCCCGUUGGGCGCCGGCUUGGCCGAGGUGAAGUAGCUGGUGUAGUAGUUGACGCCGAUGAAGUCGUAGGAGCCCUUGACGAGCGUCAUCUGCUCCGCCGUGAACUUCGGCAGCCGGUCGCCGAGGUAGCCGAUCAUGGUGGCCGGGUAGCCGCCGUGCACGAUGGGGUCGAGGAACCAGCCGUACAUGAAGUCGAGGCUGCGCUGCACGGCGAAGCUGUCGGCGGUGGAGUUUGUGUUGGGCACGAACCAGUGGGAGACGACGGCGAUGCCGA
rnacentral:lncRNA from 1 species